rnacentral:lncRNA from 10 species
GGUGAAAUUCUAGGAAUAGUCCAGUUACCUGGGGCUAGCGAUACAGGAGCUCGGAAUAUCUAGCAUCCCCAGGUCCAAAGGCAUCAAGCAAGGAAGUAGUUAUCAGAAUCCAUUAGGAGAGCCCUAUAGAGCAGGAUGCCUUCAAAGAACUCAUGAUUUUUCAUAAAAGGACACAUAGAUUGAGGCAAUCAUAAGACAGAGCUAACCAGGGUUUGAAAAGACACCUUGAUCUCACUCAAUUCUCUCCCUCUCAUCUCUGCCGGGAAUUUCUGUUGGCCAAAUCCAGGUGGAAGCAGAGGACAUGGGGGCCUACUGAUGUUCAUUCACAUCAGCCAUCUGUAGCCAAAGUAAGGUGAAGAAGGAUGAGGAGUACAUCUAGG